GCUAUAUUUAAUGAUUUCAUGUUUUUUUUUCUUUAACUGGAUCGUGUUUACAGAAGGACACAACACGUAGCAAAAGCGUUUUUGUAAGGGCCGAAGAAACUGAACAUGGGCUGGGGUUCGCAAUUGGUUUUCAGGUAAGGGAUGUAAUAAGCACUCAUAUCAUACGUGGGAGUUGUAGUUAAGUGUAGUUUUUUUUAUUUUUGCUUUUCAUUUUGUCAGUUUGUUCGAUUAAUGGUGAAGAAGACAUGAAUCACAUGUGUGUAAAUAUUACGUAUCGUAUAUAUACUUAAAACUUUUGACAAAUUUUAUACGGUUUUAAAACCUGCAGCAUCACAUCAUGCAAGCACCUUCGCUAGUAGAAACUAAAACAGUAAAACUGUAGAAGAAGCUUAUGAACACAUCAAUCAUAGUGAACGGGAAGUGGAGAAGAUUUCCGAGAUAUUCUAUUGAGCAAAACCAUCGUUGAUGCGCAAAUAAGGCUUUGGCUGAAUGUGAUCACCCUAGCAUUAGGUUGUGAAAAAACCAAUCAAAUGAAGAAAAAGAAGCUACUUUUGUCAUCAUAUAAUAGAAAGAAUAGAAAAAAAGAGAGGAGGGUUGCGUUUACCGGAUUAUAUUGUUGCUGUUUGUGUUUGGGGUUACAAAAUUCAUUUUUUUUUCUUUUUCAUUUAUUUAAGGGCAAAUUUAAAGGCUUAGUAGAUAAAUUUUUCUUUUUGGAAACUUUAACGAAAAGUUUCCUGUAUUGUUUACUUUAACGAAAAACCAUAUUUUUACACUAAAAAGUCAAUCCUGGUCCUAUUCACUUUACCUUUUAUUUUGUCCUUAUCGUUAAAACUCAAAGAUUGCAAACCUUUUUUAUUAGUUUUUAUUUCAUAAGUUUAGGUAUAUAAAUAAGAAAGCUGAGUUCAAACAAAAUUUCUCAAAAAAUUUCCAUCUUCAUGCUGCACAUGGGCCUGCCCUUGUAGGCCUUAUUUUUGCGCUAUCGGCCUCUCACUCACAAAAGUGGAACAAAUUCUCCUACGGCACCGUUUCACGACCUAUAUGAGAUUGUACCGUACAUUUGCCCUUUUACACCAAGUCCUUGUCUGACACACAUUACGCUCCGAAGGUCCUCUCACCUCCUCGGCCCCAAAUUCCUGCAGGUAAAUCGCACCUCUCUGUAUUCCUCGUUAAUUUCUCUUAUUUUGUGUUUGGUUGCUGAGAAAAUAGAUAAAGAGAAAGAAAAAUGUGGUCUUUUGUUUGCCUUUUUUUUAGGAAAACUAAUGAAAAAGGCUUCAAAAUUUUGAACUUUAACAAAAAACCAUCCUAUAACUUUAUUUAAGAGAGUUUUAAUGAAAAGCUCACGGUAUUGUUCACUUUAACAAAAAAUCACAUUUUUACACUAAAAAGUCAAACAUGCUACUAUUCACUUUACCUUUUAUUUUGUCCUUAUCGUUAAAACUCAAAGUUUUCAAACCAUUUUCAUUAAUUUUCUUUUUAUUUAAUGAUAAGAACAAGAGAAAAAAAAAACAAAAAAACAAAAAGACCUAACUAAGGCGCGUGCAAGGGCAUGCCACCCAAAUUCUUCACCUGCACAAACAUUUCAGAUCGAAGGCUACAAAUCUUCCUACUGGAAUUCCACGUAUUCUCCAGUGACCAUCUUUCAAAUGGUUUGAUUACUCUCUUCACCAACUUUCCCCAAACUUCUCAACCGCAAACUCUCUUUCACCAACAAUCUUAAAGUUGAGCAUUCCUUUCAAUCGAUGAAGUUGAAAGGAAUACGAGAAAGCAAAAAUUGCAAGAUUGCGAAGUAAGUGAAAAUCGAAAAGAAAAGAGAGGUCAUCUUCCCAACUCCUGCAACCAGAAACCGUCCAGAUUUUGCAAAAGCUAAAGAAUUCACAAAUCCAACCUGCACGGAACAAGAAUAUUGAGGGAAGAAAAAACUUGUUAACUUCUGAUUUACACGAGGCAAACAAGGUUUUUUAAUAAUUGAUUUGGCAUACCAAUGGGAUGUUGUGUAACGGCUGAAGCACUCUGCUCUCACUUUCAAUAGCCCAUAAUCGAACAGAGCCAUUACCAGCUCCUGAUGCAGCGAGGUCACUGCCUCUACAAACAGUGACUGAACUGAUCCAAGAAUUGGUUGAUGAACAAUCAAAGCUUUCAGAAGUGUGGUUACCAUUUUCUGCACAACAAAGUUCAAUACCAUCCCGUUAGAACACAACUAACUGGGAAAAAAAGCGUCCACAGGAUAAAACUUGAAGCCCGAAAAACUUAUGUUUUAGAUAAACUUGAAGCCCGAAAAACUUGAAGCCCGAUUAAAGUGGUUUUCCUAGAAUGAUUUCUCACAUACCCAACAACUUAUAUUAAUUCCUUAAUUGUGGCUGUCUUGGGAAUCCGCAUGUUUUCAUGGUGCGGUGGCACUCCUUUAUGUUUUGGUGUUCCUUCUAGACAAUAGUUUUCAAUUGCAUUGAUAACUAGCUGCUGCUUAUCCUUUUGAGUUAGUUUUUCAUCUUUCCUUUAGAUUGUAUUGUUCAUGCUCUUGGUGAGAGUGUUGUAACUUGUAAGCUUAUUUUCCUUGUUAGUAAAAGUUGAUUCAUCUUCAUUGAGUUCCAUUCUUUCUCUUUACUGUUGGUUUAAGUCUUGGGCUAGUGUGGAGUUUGCACUAACCGAGAAGCAAUACUCUGGAGUUUGGAAUAUUGUCUUUCUCUACAUGGUACCAGAGCUACAAGGGAGGUAGCUUCUGUUGUCAAGUUUCCUCUAGUAAAGAAAGAUUGUGAUACUCAAAGAUGGACUCAAACCGAAGCUCUGGAUUAGGUAUUGAUUUAUUGAAUCAGUCAAAUUUCAAGGUAUGGAAAUCUUGUAUGGAAUCCUAUCUCUUGGGUGAAGAUUUAUGGGAGGUUGUUGGUGGAGAUGAAACUGCCACUCCAACAAAUACACAAGAAAUUCCAGACGCUUUGAAGAAGUGGAAGGUGAGGAAUGCUAAGGCUGAAUUUGCUUUGAAGAAAUCCAUUUCUCGCGAGCUGUUUGAACACAUCACAGAUUGCAAAUCCGCAAAUGCGAUAUGGACAACUCUUGAUGGCUUAUUCAACAAAAAGAAUGAAGGAAAUUGCUGGAGAAUGAUCUAGCAAAUUUAACCCAAGGUGAUCUUUCUAUUUCUCAGUUUUUCUUGAAGGCAAAAAAUUUAUGCUCCGAAAUUUCGUCUCUUGAUACGGAAGGACCAAUGUCGGAUGCACGAGUACGAAGGCAUAUUAUCCGUGGGCUUAAACAUGAAUAUGUUCCUUUUGUUACAUCAAUACAAGGAUGGGCAAAUCAACCGUCUUUGGUAGAGCUAGAAAAUCUUCUAGCCUCUCAAGAGUCUUUGGCUAGACAAAUGGCUAGUUGCUCUGUGUUAUCUUCAAAUGGUGAUGGAAGUGCCCUGUUUACUAGAAAAAAGAAGUUUGAAAAGAAAAAAAUCUACCAGCCCCGUGAUUCCAACUACCGAAAAGACGAGAAGAAGGAAAGAUUUACCAAUGAAGAUGUGAAUAAGCAAUGCCAUCGCUGUGGGAAAAUGGGGCAUAUACGUAAAAAUUGUAAUGUGAAGAUGCAAGGGGGGAACAUGGCUAAAUUGAAAGAACCAAAGAGUGAGGAAAAUUGGGGGAAGUGCCUUGUGGCUGAAACUACCAAUAUAGAUGCUUUGGCCUCAAUCAAUUUCAAAGAAGACUGGAUUGUUGAUUCUGGUUGCAGCCAUCAUCUCACAGGCAAUGAGUCCAUGUUCUCUUCCUUCCGAAAAUAUGAAGGAAACGAUGCCAUUGUCACAGCAGAUGAUUCUGUUCACCCAGUUAAAAAGGAGGGAGUUGUUACAAUUGACAACGGCGAUGAUCGCAUUACACUGAAUAGUGUUUUUCAAGUACCGGGUAUGAAGAAAAAUCUGUUUUCGGUGGCAAAUACGGUUGAUACAGGUACAUAUGUUCUCUUUGGACCUGAAAAUGUGAAGUUCUUACGAAAUUUGAAAAGCAUAGAUGCUGAUGUUGUUCAUACUGGUAGAAGAGUUAAAGAUGUGUUUACUUUAUCAGCUACAUCUAGUUCUUAUGUUGAUAACAUGAGUAAAAAUGAUAGUCCUACACUUUGGCAUGCUAGAUUGGGGCAUUUGAGCAUGGAUAAGUUAAAGGCUAUGGUGCUGAAAAAUUUGGUUGAUGGGUUGCCAAAGAUAAACUCAUUUGCUUGUGAUAAAGUUUGUGAAGGUUGUCAAUUUGGGAAGGCACAUCGUCUUCCAUUUCACAAAUCUGAUUCAAGAAGCAAGGUUUCUUUGGAAUUGGUUCAUAGUGAUCUUAUGGGACCAACCACUACACCUUCUUACACAGGUUGUAGGUAUAUGCUACUUUUUGUAGAUGACUUUACAAGAUUUACUUGGGUAUAUUUUGUGAAGGAAAAAUCAGAGGUCUUCUCCAAGUUUCAAGAAUUCAAAGUAAAUGUUGAAGGGGUUCUUGAAAGGAAAAUCAAGUGUCUCCGCACUGAUAAUGGUGGAGAAUUUACUUCAUCAGAAUUCAUUAAAUUUUGCAUGGAGCAUGGUAUUCGUAAGCAGCUCACUUGUGCUUACACGCCGCAACAAAAUGGUGUGGCGGAAAGGAAGAUUAGGCAUUUGGUGGAGACUUGCAAGAGCUGGUUAUUUGCAAAGAAUUUGCCGAAGGCCUUAUGGGCAGAAGGUAUGGCUUGUGCAACAUAUGUGAUUAAUCGAGUUCCUCUUAGUCCAAUUGAUUUGAUGUCUCCAUAUGAGAAAUUGGCUGGUGAAAAACCAAAUGUCAAGCACUUCAAAGUUUUUGGUUCCAUUUGCUAUAAAUUUGGAAUUGAAGAAUGCUAUUCUUAUUCAAUAGAAUGCUAUUCUUAUUCAAUCUAUCCCAAAUGAAAACAACUAAUAUAUAUAUACAUACAAUGAUAGCACGCAUGCAGUAAUUAAAUAUAAAAAGGAAUGGGCAUCCUUGCUGCCCAUGAUGUAACUGACACGCCCAUGUUGUGCAUCCACCAUGUGCAAACCCUUUCUGACAAGGAUUUUGGUAUCCACAUGCAGCUGUCCAAACUGUCUAGGAAUGUGCAUCCACAUGCUACAUUCCUGCUGUCCACCUUGUACAGAUUGAGUGAUUUCUGUUCCUUUAACACUCCCCCUCAAGUUGGAGCGUGAAUGUCAAUGACGCCCAACUUGCCUAGAUGUGUAUGAAAAAUAGGCGCCCGAAGUGGCUUAGUAAACAAGCUGCAUGUGGUUGAUCUUUACCAUUCUUUUUUAUGAAGGAGAGUCAUGAGUUGACUGUAUUCCUUGGUUGUGAAUGUUGGAUUGUUGGCGAUUUGUGAUUGAGGUGCUCGCUGACCAUAGCCUUCUGGAGUGCUAGGUGACUGAGCGGUUUGUCCAUAAACUGCAGGAUUUGCAAGAGUCUUUCGUGCUGGAUGUGCUUCAUAUUCAGUGCCAUAUGUGGGUUGAGCCGAUGGUUGGCUUUCAUAACCAGUUUGAGCAGUUGGCUGCCCAGUUCUCUUGUUGUUCAUGAUGGAUGUAAUUUCUUGAUAUUGGGUAUCAGAAAGUGAUCUACGCCAAGUAGAAUGAUUAUCUCCAUCGGAGACGAGAACGUGAAUAGAAAAAAGGAUUGGAUGCUUUUGGCUUGUAUCCAUCUUGUAAAGCUGAUUUGGAUGCUGCCUGCUUCCUCCUUUAUUUUCUGCUUCGGUGGCACUGGUUUGAGUGAAGCUGAGUAGGCGGAGCAGUGACGUAAUGAAUGCGUAGCAGGUAAUGCAGCGACGAUAGCUGUGUAGUAGUUGUGCGACAGCAAGGCAGCGAGUGUGCAGCUUGCAGUGCAAUGGUUGUGCAGUAGCAGGUAAUGCAGCGACGAUGGCCGUGUAGUAGUUGUGCGACAGCAAGGCAGCGAGUGUGCAGCUUGCAGUGCAAUGGUUGUGUAGUAGCAGGUGUCCCUGUGCACAAUAUAGUAGCGGAAGAGUGAAGGCAGAGCAGAGCAAAUGAUUAAUCCUGCUCUGAUACCAUAUAAAUUUGAAAUUGAAGAAUGCUAUUCUUAUUCAAUCUAUCCCAAAUGAAAACAACUAAUAUAUAUAUACAUACAAUGAUAGCACGCAUGCAGUAAUUAAAUAUAAAAAGGAAUGGGCAUCCUUGCUGCCCAUGAUGUAACUGACACGCCCAUGUUGUGCAUCCACCAUGUGCAAACCCUUUCUGACAAGGAUUUUGGUAUCCACAUGCAGCUGUCCAAACUGUCCAGGAAUGUGCAUCCACAUGCUACAUUCCUGCUGUCCACCUUGUACAGAUUGAGUGAUUUCUGUUCCUUUAACAUUUGCUAUGUUCAUAUACCAGAUGCUCAAAGGACCAAGCUAGAUGCAAAAGCAAAAAAAUGCAUUUUCGUUGGUUACGAUGAAAGGAAAAAGGGUUGGAAGUGCAUGGAACCUGAUACUCACAAAAUUACAGUUUCAAGGGAUGUUGUUUUUGAUGAGAUUUCCUCUUAUUUUGACAAGAAAGAUGCUUCCGUUGAAAUCGGGUUGGUGGAGUCUUUGCCUAUUCCAUUAGUGAAUGAAAUCAGCCCCUCAUCAUAUGACCAAGCAUGUGAAGAAACUGUGACUCAAAAUGAUUCUUUUAUGAGGGAGCAUGCAAAUGGGGGAGCUGAGACUUGUCAUGUUGAAACUGAAGGCAGCGAGGAACUUGUAGAUGAACCAUCUCUUAGAAGAUCCCAAAGAACAAUUGUGAAGCCAUCUCGUUUUAAAGAUUUUGUUAGUCUUUACUCUUGUCUUCUUGCUGGACCAUUUGAUGAUAAUGAGCCAUCUUGCUUUGAUGAAGCUCAUGGAAAAAAGGAAUGGGAUGAAGCUAUGGAUUUGGAGAUGAAUGCUCUAAUAAAAAAUGAGACUUGGGAUCUUGUUCCAAAACCCCAAGGUGCAAAUCCAGUGACAUGCAAAUGGGUUUAUAAAAUAAAGCGGAAAGCAGAUGGAAGUAUUGACAGGUUUAAAGCAAGACUUGUUGUCCGCGGUUUCUCUCAAAAAUAUGGGGAAGAUUAUGAAGAAACUUUUAGCCCUGUUGCAAAGUUAACUUCAGUCUGAAUUAUGAUAUCAUUGGCAGCUUGUAGAGGAUGGAAAUUAUGGCAGCUCGACGUUAAAAAUGCAUUCUUGUAUGGCGAGAUUGACAAAGAGAUAUAUAUGGUACAACCACCUGGGUAUGUAUCACAAGAGCAUCCAAAUUUUGUUUGCAAGCUUAAGAAAGUGCUUUACGGCUUGAAACAAGCUCCGAGAGCUUGGUAUGGUAAGAUUGCUGAAUUCUUACUAUUCUGUGGUUAUGUUGCUUCAGAUUCUGAUGCAAGCCUAUUUGUCAAGUGGCAUGAAAGCUCACACAUUGUAGUUCUCUUGUAUGUGGAUGACAUGAUUGUGAGUGGCAAUGAUGAGAAGGAAAUUGCAAAACUUCGAUCCGAACUCUCAAUUCGGUUCGAAAUGAAAGAUUUGGGUGAACUAAGUCACUUUCUUGGUUUGGAAGUGGAAAAUUUAAUGCAUGGAGUUUUUGUAUCUCAAAAGAGCUAUGCUGGAAAUCUUGUUGAAAAGUUUGGAUUAUCUACAAGCAAAAAGUGCUCCACUCCACUGGAUGCAAAUUUGAAGUUAAGGCAAAAUCAAGGCAAGCUUCUUCCAGAUUCUCGAUCGUAUCGUGCAUUGGUUGGUAGCCUUAUUUACUUGACCAUCACAAGGCCAGAUAUUUCAUUUGCGGUUGGGCUUGUUAGCCGAUUUAUGCAGAAUCCUCGGAAACCUCAUCUUGAUGCAGCAAAACGAAUAUUGAAAUAUGUUUCAGCAACUCUUGACAUGGGACUUAUGUUCAAGAAAGAUGUUGAUUUUAAGCUAUAUGGUUUUACAGAUGCUGACUUUGCUGGUGAUUUAGAUGAUCGAAAAUCAACGUCUGGCUAUGUUUUCUUUUGUGGAUCAGCAUGUAUUUCUUGGUGCAGUAAGAAACAAGACUCUGUCUCUCUUUCAACAACUGAGGCUGAAUAUAAAGCCUCUUCUUUUGCUGCUCAAGAAUGUGUUUGGUUGCGUCGGUUGAUUGGGGAUGUUGAUUCACCAAUCUACUGUCCUACGGUUAUACAUGGUGACAACCAAAGUGCUAUAAAGCUUGCAACAAAUCCAGUGUUUCAUGCGAGGACCAAGCACAUUGAGACUGAGCAUCACUAUAUUCGUGAAUGUGUGCUUAAAGGAAGAGUCAAAGUUUCUGAAGUUCGAAGUAGUGCAAACGUUGCUAACAUCUUUACAAAGUCGCUCUCCAAAGGACCGUUUGAAGACUUCCGUGUGCAGCUUGGUUUAACAUCUAGAAAAUCACUUUAAGGGGGAGUGAUAAAAUUAAAGUGGUUUUCCUAGAAUGACUUCUCACAUACCCAACAACUUAUAUUAAUUCCUUAAUUGUGGCUGUCUUGGGAAUCCGCAUGUUUUCAUGGUGCGGUGGCACUCCUUUAUGUUUUGGUGUUCCUUCUAGACAAUAGUUUUCAAUUGCAUUGAUAACUAGCUGCUGCUUAUCCUUUUGAGUUAGUUUUUCAUCUUUCCUUUAGAUUGUAUUGUUCAUGCUCUUGGUGAGAGUGUUGUAACUUGUAAGCUUAUUUUCCUUGUUAGUGAAAGUUGAUUCAUCUUCAUUGAGUUCCAUUCUUUCUCUUUACUGUUGGUUUAAGUCUUGGGCUAGUGUGGAGUUUGCACUAACCGAGAAGCAAUACUCUGGAGUUUGGAAUAUUGUCUUUCUCUACAUCCACCACCAUCAUCACCAUCAUGAAUGUGGUUGUUGCUCAGGGAUGUAGCGAAACCGGAGAAGGCACUAUUUCUAAAACAGUGUCGUAAGUUUCAUAAACAGUGUAAUAAGUUUCAUAAUGUUAGACAAAUAAGGAAUAUGGUUGGAGUCCUUGUGUAAUUGUAGUCCUAAUUGUAGUUGUAUUCCUAAUUUGUAGGGAUUUUUCCUUGCUAUGCAAGGCAUGUAAUUGUAUAUAAUAUCAUUCACGUAUCAAUAACAUAUAUGCUUUUUAGCCUACAUAACUUUUUCUUACAUGGUAUACAGAGCAGGUUUAAAACCCUAGCCCUAUUUUUUUUCCCUUUUUUUUCGGCAGCUUUCUCUGCCGUUCCCAUGGCUGAUUAUUCUUCUCCCGAUGGUGCUUUUUCCCUUCAUCAUUCAGACCACCCGAGUCUUGUCCUUGUAUCCAAGAAGUUGAAUGGUGAUAACUACACAUCCUGGGCCCGUGGAAUGCAGCUUUCUUUGAGUGCCAAGAAUAAACUUGGUUUCAUCACUGGUGAUGUCCAAGAGCCUUCUUCCUCCGACGAUCCCGAUGAUCACGCGGCUUGGCGUCGUUGCAAUGACAUGAUUCUCUCUUGGCUUCUUCAUUCCUUGGAACCUGACCUUCAAGAAUCUGUGUUUUUUUCCACCUCUGUCAAGGAUGUGUGGGACGAUCUUCGCAAACGCUUCUCUCAGAGUAACGCUCCUCGCAUCUUCCAACUCAACCGGGAGCUUGCUACAAUUUCUCAAGGUUCUUCUUCUGUCUCAGCCUAUUUUACUCGCCUGAAAGCUCUCUGGGAUGAGCUUUCUUCUUAUAAUGAUGGCUGCAUGUGCUCUUGCAACGCCAAGCAUGACCGUCAACAACUCAUGCAAUUUUUAAUGGGCCUCAACCAAUCCUUUGAUGCCGUUCGUGACCAGAUCCUUUUGAUGAAUCCCCUUCCCACUGUUCGUCAAUCUUCUCUUUCUGGUGCUCAUUAUUUUUUAACCAUUGUGGAUGAUUUUUCUCGAUUUACGUGGGUCUUCCUCAUGAAACAUAAAUCCGACACUCAACAAUUAAUUAAGGAUUUUUUUGCUUAUGUCCAUACCCAAUUCCGCACUACAAUCCAAUGCAUUCGUACUGACAAUGGCGGUGAAUUUUUAUCUCUUCGUAGUUUUUUCUCUGAUCAUGGGGUGCUUUUACAAACUUCUUGUGUUUAUACCCCCCAACAAAAUGGCGUUGUUGAACGCAAACAUCGUCAUCUUCUUGAAACCGCUCGCGCACUUCGUUUUCAAUCCCAUCUUCCUCUCAAAUUUUGGGGUGAAUGUGUCCUUACCGCUACUUAUCUCAUCAAUCGUUUCCCAACCCAUCUUCUCCAUAAUAAAUCCCCCUUUGAGGUUCUCUUUUCGAAAACCCCAUCUUAUGACCACUUCCGCGUCUUUGGUUGUCUGGCCUAUGCCACCUCUGUCACUCCCACCACCAAAUUUUCCCCUCGGGCUCAUCGUUGCAUUUUUCUCGGUUACUCUCAUGGACAAAAAGCCUAUACCCUUUACGAUCUCGACCAUCACCGUAUUUUCACUAGUAGAGAUGUCAUCUUUCACGAAAAUACUUUUCCUUAUGCCGUUCCUAACCCUCCUAUCCCAUCCACUCCGCCUACGCUACCCAUCCCACCCCCUCUGGAAUUUUCCUAUACCCCACCCCUCCCUGCCCCGCCACCUCACCCUCAUACCACUUCAUCCACUUCCACGCCUCCCACAGAUUCCCUUGCUGCCCCCUUACCCGUUCCUCCACCUGCCCCUGCCCUCUCGGCAUCCCCUCCUUCCCCCACCGCUACUUCCUUACCUUUCACCCAUUUACCCACGGACAUCCCUACCCCCCCCCCCCACUUCCUACCAAUCCUCCCAUUCCCCGCACCUCUUCUCGUGCCCAUAAACCUCCAUCAUAUUUAAAAGUCUACGUUUGCUGGCAGGUGAUUCUGCCAUCCCACCAAUCUUCAAAUUCGCAACCCGGUUCUACACAAGGUACGCGAUAUCCACUUUGUAAUUUUCUUUCUUAUCACCGUUACUCUCCCUGACAUUUUUCAUAUAUUAACUUUGUCAGUCAGACUGUGGAGCCUUCCUCUUUUGCCGAGGCUGCCACUGACCCCAAUUGGCAACGUGCUAUGACUGAGGAGCUUCAAGCUUUACAUGCUAAUGGUACUUGGACUUUAACUUCCUUGCCCCCUGGCAAAAUUCCCAUUGGUUGUAAAUGGGUGUACAAACUCAAGUACAACUCCGACGGCUUUAUUGAGCGCUACAAAGCUCGUUUGGUUGCUAAAGGCUUCACUCAGGCUGAAGGUAUUGAUUAUCAUGACACUUUUUCUCCUACUGCUAAGAUGAUUACGGUGCGUUGUCUUCUUGUUCUUGCUGCUAGUCAGUCUUGGUCUCUUCAUCAGCUUGAUGUUAAUAAUGCUUUCUUACAUGGUGACUUACAUGAAGAACUCUAUAUGUCUCCUCCUCCUGGUCUUCGGCGACAGGGGGAGAAUCUUGUGUGUCGCCUUCACAAGUCACUUUAUGGUCUUAAGCAGGCUUCUUGCCAAUGGUUUGCCAAAUUCACUAGUGCCAUCAUUUCUGCUGGUUUUCAACAAUCCAAAGCUGACUAUUCAUUGUUCACUAAAAAGUCUGGUAUUUCUUUCACAACUUUGCUCAUUUAUGUGGAUGAUAUUGUGAUUACAGGCAAUGAUGCUAGUGCCAUUAAUUCUCUGAAGUCUUUUCUCCGUGAUCAUUUUCGGAUAAAAGACCUUGGUGAUUUAAAAUAUUUUUUGGGUAUUGAGGUUUCUCGUUCCAAACAAGGGAUUUAUAUUUCUCAACGCAAGUAUGCAUUAGAGAUUCUCAAGGACUAUGGUUUUUUGGGAGCACGACCCAUUGCUUUUCCUAUGGAUGACACAAAAUUAUCUGAUAAAGGAGAACUUCUCAAGGAUCCUGAAAGGUAUCGACGAUUAGUAGGUCGGUUAAUAUAUCUCACUAUAACUUGGCCGGAUAUUACCUAUUCUGUGCAUGUUCUAAGCCGUUUUAUGCACGAGCCAAGGAUAUCUCAUAUGGAUGCAGCGCUUCGUAUUGUUCGUUAUUUGAAGGCUACUCCAGGUCAAGGUUUAUUAUUUCGAUCUGACAACCAGACCAAGUUAACUGCGUUUUGUGAUUCUGAUUGGGCAGGUUGUCAUAUCACUCGUCGUUCGACUAUUGGGUAUUGUGUAUUCUUGGGCGGUUCUUUGAUUUCAUGGCGGACGAAACGACAGAAAACUGUUUCGCUCUCUUCAGCAGAGGCAGAAUAUAGGGCUAUGGCAGGUUCUUGUUGCGAGAUAGUUUGGCUUCAUUUUUUGUUGAAGGAUUUGAACAUUUCCUUGGUUGGUCCUUCCAGUUUAUUUUGUGAUAAUCAAGCAACGUUACAUAUAGCUGCCAAUCCUGUUUUUCAUGAACGAACUAGUCACAUUGAGAUGGAUUGUCACUUUAUACGAGAUAAGAUUGUAGAUGGCACAAUAGAGACCAAACAUGUGGGUACGGCACAACAGUUGGCAGACUUGUUUACCAAACCUCUUGGGAAAGAAAAGUUUUCGAGUAUGUUACGCAAGUUGGGAGUUCUUGACAUCCACUCUCCAACUUGAGGGGGAGUGUUAGACAAAUAAGGAAUAUGGUUGGAGUCCUUGUGUAAUUGUAGUCCUAAUUGUAGUUGUAUUCCUAAUUUGUAGGGAUUUUUCCUUGCUAUGCAAGGCAUGUAAUUGUAUAUAAUAUCAUUCACGUAUCAAUAACAUAUAUGCUUUUUAGCCUACAUACCUUUUUCUUACACAUAAACGGUAUACCGUGAGUCUGCGCGUUAGAUUUUUUGUCAUUUUUAUUAAAAUUAUGCAUUUUUUUAUUAAAAUUUAAGUUCUUUUGUCAUUUUUAUUAAAAUUUAAUGGAUUUUCAUUAAAAUUUAAGAUUUUACGAGGAAUUUGAGGAGUCGGCGGCUUUUGGAACUUGGGCUCAGAGACGGCUAUGGUGAGGUAGCAGCUGAGGAGUAUUCUCAUAUCCCGGCAACCCCACACGACGUCGUUCCUGAAACUAAGGUAUUUUCUGGUAUAGAUUAAACUCGCCCACUACAUUUACAAUGAAUUUGGAAGUUUUAGGUCCCGACUUACAGUUUAUGGCUCCAAACUGAUUGUCACGAAAUUGAUUAUUUGAUUGGUGGUGUUUUGGUAUCAAGAGGACGAACAGAUUUGUGCUCUAGAUCAGGGCAAAGGCUUGCCGUGAGAAAUUGACGAGGGAGAGAUUUAAUGACAGGUACGUAUGUAUCCAAUCUCAAAUUAUUUUUUAUUUUUUGAAGAAUUGGGUUGUUUUGUAAUGAUGAAAUGAAUGGUGGUUUUCUGUUGAAUUUUACUGUUUUGCAAUUUGGGAUUUCUGUGUGGAUUGUAAACUUUUAAUUUUUUUGUCAGUGAUUGAAUUUUUCUUGCAUUUGACACAUACUUAAUGAAAUGAGAUUGAAAAAUAAGGAGUUGCUGUCAGGCGUUUAUGUUUUAGUAUAAUUUUACAUCUAUGAUUCGAAAGCGUUUCCCCCAAUCCAGUGUUUUUUUUUCUUUAGAUGAAUCUGUUGCCACAACCCAUGAAGAAGAAUAUUAGCUGAGCGAGCAACUUUUGUUUUUAACACUGUUUUGAAAAUGUUUUGGAGCAACAUUGUUGAACUGAAGCGCAGAGUCUUUUAACGAAAGAAAAGACCAAAGCAUCCCAAUUUUUUUAAGAGAGUUUUAACGAAACACUCUAGGUACUAUUUAUUUUUAACGAAAAAUCAUAUUUUUACUUUUUCACGGUUCCAUUCACUACACCUUUACUUUAUUUGUCAUUUUUCAUUAAAACUAAAUUUUUUUGGACUUUUCGUUAGUUUUCUUUUUUUUUAAUAGCUCCAUAGUUGCCAAAAUUAUUUUAUUACAACAAUUCUGAUAGGGAAUCAAUCUUCGGGGCAAUGGGCAAAAUUGUGGUUUAGUUAAGCAUCUGUGGAGUUCUAAUGUUCAUUAAAUCUUCAAUAAUUCAAUUACUGUACAAUUUUUUUUAUUUUUUAUCAAAACUUCUUUUUUUCACUUUUUGGUUUAGGCUUAUUUAAUCAAUGUGAGAUAGUUCUUCACAUUGCGGCUAAUUGUAUUGUUUUUUCUCUUUUGAGUUUUCUUUUUUUAUUAAUUGAAAUCCUACAGAGAUAUCUAAGCUAUAUUUAAUGGAAGUUGUUAGGGCCAAAGAAACUGAACAUGGGCUGGGGUUCGCAAUUGGUUUUCAGGUAAGGGAUGUAAUAAGCACUAAUAAAAUGGAAGCUGUAGUGAAGUGUAGUUUUUUUAUUUUUGCUUUUCAUUUUGUCAGUUUGUUCGAUUAAUGGUGAAGAAUACAUGAAUUACAUGUGUGUAAAUAUUGCAUAUCGUAUAUAUACUUAAAACUUUUGACAUAUUUUAUAUGGUUUUAAAACCUGCAGCAUCACGCGAGCACCUUCGCCAGUAGAAACUAAAACAGUAAAACUUUAGAAGAAGCUUAUGAACACAUCAAUCAUAGUGAACGGGAAGUGGAGAAGAUUUCCGAGAUAUUCUAUUGAGCAAAACCAUCGUUGAUGAGCUUUUUAAUCUUUAACAGGAACAGCUCUCCGAUCUUACAAAUAACUUCCGUCGAUAAUUUUGGAGAAUCAGACAGAAAACUAUUUUCUGAUUGCGCAAAUGAGUUCAUCGACUGCAGAGGUAAUAGAAAAGCUAGAAGUUCUUCUACUAAAAUGUGUGGUCAAUCGUCUGCUAACAUGUUAGGGCAAGUCAAGUUUAAUGAAAAGGUAGUAGAAACUAUUGACUGGCUAUCAUUGAUUUUCUAACAUUAAAAGUCAAUUCUUGGAAUAUGUGGUGGCAGCAGGGCAGGGCAAGUAUUUGUGCGAAUUCUGAGUAGUAUUUGUCAAAUAUUGGGAUGAGAGAGAGAAAGAGAGAGUGAGAUACCUGUUGGAUGCUCUUCCCAAAAUCAGCUGUUAAAUUGGUACAGUUACUCAUAUAAAUCCAUGCAUGGAGUUUAAUGACUUACCCAAGCCCGGAACCUCAAUGAGAGUUUGGGUGACUCCCUUACAUUCAGUUUUCUCAUAUUUGACAUUUCCAAAAAACUGGGCAUUGUUUUCAAUGCAGGGCAAUUAGAGGCGUACAAAAAUUUCAAAUUUGUUGGUAAAUCAAGGAUUGUAUGAAGGUUAAAGCGUUGAUCUAACCGUAGAGUUUCAAGCUUUGACAGACUACUGAGGUUGGGUAGAGCAUAAAAAUCAUUUCGUCGAACAUCCAAAUAUUGCAAGGAAAUUAGACUCCCAAGACCCAUAACGAUUGCAUCAUCAUCUAUGUCGCACAAAUAGCAGUGGAACGAAUAGGGAGAAUGAACACACCCAAACCUUACGGUUAGAGAUAAGCGAGUGAGAUUCUUCAAUCUUAGUAUGGAAGGUGGUACUUCUCUUAUGGUUGUUUCCUCUGCUUCAAGUAUUCUCAAUGAUAUCAUCUCCCCUAAAUCCUUAUGCAGUUUACUGAAUUUUGAACAGUAAUUAAGACAGAGUGAACAGAUUUGGACCUUUAGAAAUCCCUUGGAAGAGAACUAAGCAUUCUGCAUCCGUUUAGGUUCACCAAAGAAAGUCUUUUAAGACGACCAAUGUAGGGGUGAAUCUCAGACAAAUUGAUACAGCGUUCCAAUAUCAACUCUUCAAGAUUUGGGACUUGUGAAAAGUCCAGUGAUUUAAUUAGGUAAUCAGAAAAACUAA
rnacentral:lncRNA from 1 species